UCUCAAUCCAUCUCCAUCCUCCUGCCCUCCAUUUCUCACCUCUCGUCGUCCACCGACGACGGGAUACGCUUCUCCCCGAUUCGUUGAGACGGUUAGGGAGAGCCGUAGAGGCCGGAGAGAGAGAGAGAGAGAGAGAGACGGAAGGGUUGGCAGAGACUCUGCGCCCUUCCCCAGAACCACACGUCAUCACCAGAUACACGAAUCUCAAAGCACGCUUCCGGAGAGAAGGGAGAGCGAGAGCCUAGGCGCAUUAGCGGUACGGUAACGUUACCGUUGUCCGAGGCGGCGAGGAAAGCGCACGCGGGUGGCGGAGAGGCACAGGGCGGGCGACCAUGGGAAUCGGGAAACGUGGCGCGCGGUCGGAGAUCUACAAGGAGAGGAGGAGGAGGAAGGGUUGGGUCGCGGGCGCGAAGUCACGUGACGCCACGUCAGCGGGGUGUCGGUCAAAAACGGGAAGCCGGGCGUCCGUUGGGUCGGCCCACGGGUGCCGUGGGUGGUUCCGCGAGGGCAUGGAAUGGACGGACGGAUGGAG
rnacentral:lncRNA from 1 species